rnacentral:lncRNA from 1 species
UCAUAUUUUCAGGCAAGCAUAUAUUUAGCCAAUUUGUUUUAAGGUUUGUAAGAAAUUGGAAUUUUUUUUAGUUUUUUUUUUAAUUUUUGUGUCGGCUAGACUAAAUUGGUGCUAUAGUUCAUCGUAGCAUUAGAUUUUUGGUGUGAAUUAUAGAGUUUAUAUAAUAAAAAGUCAAACCUUUUUUGUGUGAAUUGGAGGUUGGUGGAUGUAGAUUUUUUAAGUGGUAUGUAAUAAAUUGUGCAACAGGGUGAAUGAAGUAAUACAUGAAUUACAUGAUAGCGAAAGAAAACUUGUUGUAAGACUCAAUUUUAGCCAGGGCCCAAAUACUUAAUUCUAGCCCAAAUACAAAUUAUAACCUAGUACCCAAAUAAAUUAACACCCCAAGCCCGAGUUUAAAUGCUGGCCCAAAAUACAAUUUUUGUCCUGAUUACACAAGCCCAAUGGCCCAAUUUUUUUUAGAAACAACAAACCCUAGCACUUAGAUCCUCCCUUUGGCCGACGUCGCCUCCACCUCCACGUACGCCCCCCGCACGACCCCUGGCUCGCGCGUUUCACGCCCCACGUCUGUGCGCUCCUCCUCCAUGUCUUCACGACCUGCGACCUGAGCGAGAAAAUAGCCAGAAACAACUUGUAUUCGGCUAUAAAGCCUUCAAAAUUCUCAUUGUAAAGGCCUUUGUUUUUCCUUUUCUUUUUCCAGAAAAAGAGAAUACAUAUCUAAAAACAACAAAUAUACAGAAAUCAACAAAAGCAGAAGAAUACAUUUCAAAGGUGGUUUAUCGCUAUUUCUAUUUUCCCCCCUUUAUUUUCUUUUGAAUCCGCAAUACAAAUACAAAAUAUAGGGGAGAGAGAAAGGGUCCCACCGGAGUUGUGCUCACAUUGUCGGCGGCCAUGGCGCGUCGGAUCUCCGACGAAAGUGGCACCGGUUGAAUAGGGGAGGAAAUGAGAGAAUGUUUCAAAGCUUUUAGGGUUUUUUUUUAAAAAAAUGUUAAAAUGUUUUUUUAGCAAAAAAAUGGUUUAAGUGAUACGAAUGAAACGGCG